rnacentral:rRNA from 1 species
CGGAGCCUACGGGGGGCAGCAGUGGGGAAUAUUGCACAAUGGGCGAAAGCCUGAUGCAGCAACGCCGCGUGAAGGAAGACGGUUUUCGGAUUGUAAACUUCUGUUCUUAGUGAAGAAUAAUGACGGUAACUAAGGAGCAAGCCACGGCUAACUACGUGCCAGCAGCCGCGGUAAUACGUAGGGUGCAAGCGUUAUCCGGAUUUACUGGGUGUAAAGGGCGAGUAGACGGCGUUGCAAGUCAGAUGUGAAAGCAUAGGGCUCAACCGUAGGACUGCAUCUGAAACUGUAAGGCUAGA